UUCUUUCUAGAUCUUACCUAGAUAUAUGUUUUUGGUCCCCUGAGAGACUAUUACCCAGUAACUGGUAAUAUUCUUCUCAAUUUGCAAGUAUUUCACUUCUGCCCAAUACCCGAGAAAAGUAACCCUAUUCUCCCCGGCAGAUUCGUUUUCACAUUUCCCAGGAAGUCUAUCCUUGAUAUGUUCAUCCUAACCGAUGACAGAUAUUUUCUUCCCCCGCAGUUGAUUCUAUCCUUGAUAUGUUCAUCCUAACCGAUGAUGGAUAUUCUCUUUUUGGUAUUCUAACUAGUGAAAGGUAGUUGUAAUCCCUAUUUUCUUGCCCCAGAGAGUUAAUCUGUGAUAUGUUCAUCCUAACCGAUGAUAGAUUUCCUCUUCUUUGCAGUCUUCUGCCCAGUAACCGGUAGUUG
rnacentral:lncRNA from 1 species